UUUAAUGGCCGCAGUAUUUUGACUGUGCAAAGGUAGCAUAAUCAUUAGUUUCUUAAUUAGAAGCUUGUAUGAAAGGUUGAACGAGAAAAUAACUGUCUCUUAAUAAAUUUUUUAGAAUUUUAUUUUUAAGUUAAAAAGCUUAAAUAUAUUUAAAAGACGAGAAGACCCUAUAGAGUUUUAUAUAAUUAUAUUUUUAAAUAAUUAUUUUUGAAUUUUUUAAAUUUUAUAAGUAUUUAUAUUUAAUUGGGGUGAUUAAAAAAUUUAAUAAACUUUUUUAUUAUAUAAACAUUAAUUUAUGAUUAAUUGAUCCAUUAAUAAUGAUUAAUAGAUUAAAUUACCUUAGGGAUAACAGCGUAAUUUCUUUUUAGAGUUCUAAUCGAUAAAGAAGUUUGCGACCUCGAUGUUGGAUUAAAAUUUAUUUUUGGUGUAGAAGCUAAAAUAUUAGGUCUGUUCGACCUUUAAAAUUUUACAUGAUCUGAGUUUAAACCGGUGUAAGCCAGGUUGGUUUCUAUCUUUAAAUAAAAUAUUAUAUUUUAGUACGAAAGGACCAAAUAUUAGAAAAAAUUUUUAUUAAAGAUUAUUAUUAAUUU
rnacentral:rRNA from 1 species